CGCUGUGAUUGCACCCCAUACAAAAACCUACCUACAAAAGCAGACUGCAUUUGCAUUCUAAAGUCUCGCGGACAGAACUCAGGAGCCCUGAAUAAGGUCCAAGCAGCCGAGGACAAUGAAGGCUUCUCUGUCUACCUGGCAGCUUGGCGGGACCCAGGCCUAGGACAGACAGGCACUCAGGGCGACCGGAGGAUCCUUGCCGCCCAGGGAUCCCAGCGGCCCUCCUAGGGGAGGAGAGGUUCUCUAGGUUUACCUACAGAGCAAUCUGAUGAAGGUAUUUCCUCAACUGAAGUUCCUGCUUCUUAGACGGCCCGACCUGAUGUCAAGCUGACUGGAAACUAACACAGCUUUCUACCAGACCAUCAAAGAAUUCCUCCUUCAGAAGGGUGAGCACAGAUGUCUAUUGUAACCAUCUCCUGCCUGUUGACUCUGGAAGUUUGCCUCCAGCCCAGAUGUCUAUACUGAGCUAGAG
ensembl:lncRNA LOC102549668 uncharacterized LOC102549668